rnacentral:rRNA from 1 species
GUAGGUGGCAAGCGUUGUCCGGAAUUAUUGGGCGUAAAGCGCGCGCAGGCGGUCCUUUAAGUCUGAUGUGAAAGCCCACGGCUCAACCGUGGAGGGUCAUUGGAAACUGGGGGACUUGAGUACAGAAGAGGAAAGCGGAAUUCCAAGUGUAGCGGUGAAAUGCGUAGAGAUUUGGAGGAACACCAGUGGCGAAGGCGGCUUUCUGGUCUGUAACUGACGCUGAGGCGCGAAAGCGUGGGGAGCAAACAGGGAUUAGAUACCCUGGUAGUCCACGCCGUAAACGAUGAGUGCUAAGUGUUAGGGGGUUUCCGCCCCUUAGUGCUGCAGCUAACGCAUUAAGCACUCCGCCUGGGGGAGUACGGCCGCAUGGCUG